CCUACGGGAGGCAGCAGUGGGGAAUAUUGCACAAUGGGGGAAACCCUGAUGCAGCGACGCCGCGUGAGCGAUGAAGUAUCUCGGUAUUGAAAGCUCUUUCUGUAGGGAAGAAAAUGACGGUACCUGACUAAGAAGCCCCGGCAACUACGUGCCAGCAGCCGCGGUAAGACGUAGGGGGCAAGCGUUAUUCGGAUUUACUGGGUGUAAAGGGAGCGUUGACGGGUAUGCAAGCCAGUUGUGAAAGCACGGGGCUCAACCCCGGGAUUGCAUUUGGAACUGGAUACCUGGAGUGUAGGAGAGGCAGGCGGAAUGCGUAGUGUAGCGGUGAAAUGCGUAGAUAUUAGGAGGAACACCAGUGGCGAAGGCGGCCUGCUGGACGAUGACUGACGUUGAGGCUCGAAAGCGUGGGGAGCAAACAGGAUUAGAUACCCCAGUAGUC
rnacentral:rRNA from 1 species